GAUGAACGCUGGCGGCGUGCCUAAUACAUGCAAGUCGAGCGAACAGAUGAGGAGCUUGCUCCUCUGACGUUAGCGGCUGACGGGUGAGUAACACGUGGAUAACCUACCUAUAAGACUUGGAUAACUUCGGGAAACCGGAGCUAAUACCGGAUAAUAUAUUGAACCGCAUGGUUCAAUAGUGAAAGACGGUUUUGCUGUCACUUAUAGAUGGAUCCGCGCCGCAUUAGCUAGUUGGUAAGGUAACGGCUUACCAAGGCAACGAUGCGUAGCCGACCUGAGAGGGUGAUCGGACACACGGGAACUGAGACACGGACAAGAGGACGACGGGAGGAAGCAGAAGGGAAUAUUCCGCAAUGGGCGAAAGCAUGACGGAGCAACGCCGAGUGAGUGAAGAAGGUCUGCGGAUCGUAAAACUCUGUUAUUAGGGAAGAACAAAUGUGUAAGUAACUAUGCACGUCUUGACGGUACCUAAUCAGAAAGCCACGGCUAACUACGUG
rnacentral:rRNA from 1 species